rnacentral:misc_RNA from 1 species
AAGUCGUAACAAGGUUUCCGUAGGUGAACCUGCGGAAGGAUCAUUAUUACGUAUCCACGUAUCAACCCAAUUGUGAACUUGUUUCCCGUCUGAUGAGGAUUUCUGCGACCAAUUCAACAAAAGCAUGGUGAGGGUAGAACGCAAGUUCUGCUCACUUAACAAUUGGUCGGUUCCUAAGACUACUUGGUGGUUUUAGCUCAUUGGAUGUGGUUUUUUAUCACUAUGCGAACAAUUAACCCCUUGUAACAAAAAUUGAACUAACGAACUUGCUACCCGAUAAAAAGGGUGGUAAAAAGACCGAAAUUAAGAAACAACUCUUAACAACGGAUAUCUUGGUUCUC